rnacentral:rRNA from 1 species
UGGAGGAAGGAACCACAGGGAUUGCCCCAGUAACGGCGAGUGAAGCGGCAACAGCUCAAAUUUGAAAUCUGGCCCCCCCCCCGGGGGGCCCGAGUUGUAAUUUGCAGAGGAUGCUUUGGGCGAGGCGCCUUCCGAGUUCCCUGGAACGGGACGCCACAGAGGGUGAGAGCCCCGUCUGGUCGGACGCCGAGCCUCUGUAAAGCUCCUUCGACGAGUCGAGUAGUUUGGGAAUGCUGCUCAAAAUGGGAGGUAUAUGUCUUCUAAAGCUAAAUACCGGCCAGAGACCGAUAGCGCACAAGUAGAGUGAUCGAAAGAUGAAAAGCACCUUGAAAAGGGGGUUAAACAGUACGUGAAAUUGUUGAAAGGGAAGCGCUCGUGACCAGACUUGGGGCGGGCGGAUCAGCCGGCGUUCUCGCCGGCGCACUCCCCGCCCCAGGCCAGCAUCAGUUCGCGCCGGGGGACAAAGGCGGCGGGAACGUGGCUCCCCAGGGAGUGUUAUAGCCCGCCGCGCCAUGCCCCGGGGGCGGACUGAGGGCCGCGCAUCACUGCAAGGAUGCUGGCGUAAUGGUCACCAGCGACCCGUCUUGAAACACGGGCCAAGGAGUCGUCCUCGUAUGCGAGUGUUCGGGUGUCAAACCCCUACGCGGAAUGAAAGUGAACGUGGGUGAGAGCUUCGGCGCAUCAUCGACCGAUCCUGAUGUUCUCGGAUGGAUUUGAGUAGGAGCAUACGGGGCCGGACCCGAAAGAAGGUGAACUAUGCCUGUGUAGGGUGAAGCCAGAGGAAACUCUGGUGGAGGCUCGCAGCGGUUCUGACGUGCAAAUCGAUCGUCAAACAUGGGCAUGGGGGCGAAAGACUAAUCGA